UACAGAGGUGGCAAGCGUUGUUCGGAAUUACUGGGCGUAAAGGGCGAGUAGGUGGCCAUCUAAGUCAGACGUGAAAUCCCCCGGCUUAACCUGGGAACUGCGUCCGAUACUGGCGGGCUUGAAUCCGGGAGAGGGAUGCGGAAUUCCAGGUGUAGCGGUGAAAUGCGUAGAUAUCUGGAGGAAUACCGGUGGCGAAGGCGGCAUCCUGGACCGGCAUUGACGCUGAGGAGCGAAAGCCAGGGGAGCAAACGGG
rnacentral:rRNA from 1 species